rnacentral:rRNA from 1 species
GCCAGUGCGGCAGCUACACAUGCAGUCGAGCGGUAACAUUUCAAAAGCUUGCUUUUGAAGAUGACGAGCGGCGGACGGGUGAGUAAUGCCUGGGAAUUUGCCCAUUUGUGGGGGAUAACAGUUGGAAACGACUGCUAAUACCGCAUACGCCCUACGGGGGAAAGCAGGGGACCUUCGGGCCUUGCGCUGAUGGAUAAGCCCAGGUGGGAUUAGCUAGUAGGUGAGGUAAAGGCUCACCUAGGCGACGAUCCCUAGCUGGUCUGAGAGGAUGAUCAGCCACACUGGGACUGAGACACGGCCCAGACUCCUACGGGAGGCAGCAGUGGGGAAUAUUGCACAAUGGGGGAAACCCUGAUGCAGCCAUGCCGCGUGUGUGAAGAAGGCCUUCGGGUUGUAAAGCACUUUCAGCGAGGAGGAAAGGGUGUAAGUUAAUACCUUACAUCUGUGACGUUACUCGCAGAAGAAGCACCGGCUAACUCCGUGCCAGCAGCCGCGGUAAUACGGAGGGUGCGAGCGUUAAUCGGAAUUACUGGGCGUAAAGCGUGCGCAGGCGGUUUGUUAAGCGAGAUGUGAAAGCCCCGGGCUCAACCUGGGAACCGCAUUUCGAACUGGCAAACUAGAGUCUUGUAGAGGGGGGUAGAAUUCCAGGUGUAGCGGUGAAAUGCGUAGAGAUCUGGAGGAAUACCGGUGGCGAAGGCGGCCCCCUGGACAAAGACUGACGCUCAGGCACGAAAGCGUGGGGAGCAAACAGGAUUAGAUACCCUGGUAGUCCACGCCGUAAACGAUGUCUACUCGGAGUUUGGUGUCUUGAACACUGGGCUCUCAAGCUAACGCAUUAAGUAGACCGCCUGGGGAGUACGGCCGCAAGGUUAAAACUCAAAUGAAUUGACGGGGGCCCGCACAAGCGGUGGAGCAUGUGGUUUAAUUCGAUGCAACGCGAAGAACCUUACCUACUCUUGACAUCCACAGAACUUUGUCAGAGAUGACAUUCGGUGCCUUCGGGAACUGUGAGACAGGUGCUGCAUGGCUGUCGUCAGCUCGUGUUGUGAAAUGUUGGGUUAAGUCCGCAACGAGCGCAACCCCUAUCCUUACUUGCCAGCGGGUAAUGCCGGGAACUUUAGGGAGACUGCCCGGUGAUAAACCGGAGGA